GCUGAACACAGGGUAGGCAGCCGACCAGGGUGCCACAACCGGUGGCUGGAAGCCAGAAGAUCCAAAUGCAAGCCCAUGGUCUGCACAAAGACAAAACAAACCAAAGAAAAGCAUCAGGGAGACAGUUUGUUCCCAGCUGGGCGUGGAAAAAUCCGCAGAGGAGGGAGGCCUCCAUCGAGUUGCUGCUGUGGUCUGAGGCAGUUUACCUGGAUGACCAGGAAACUCAGAUGCCAUUUAUCUGGAUUUCCGAGAUGCACAGCUUGAUGCUGAAUAAAAGUAUCUCAAGCCACCCAUGUGAAGAAAAGGCUCUUUUCUAAAAAUCUGAACUCAAAUAUGAAACGCACAGGUCGCUGUGGGUCUUAUUGGGAGCCCAGAGAGCUGGCGGCAAGGCCUCCCUGAACUAUUCAUGUCUGCAGUGCACACCGAUAAAGCACGCUGUGCUGUUGAUUUGUGACGGAUGAAUACCCUGUCUCAUUAUCCUGAGCUAACCCUCCUGUUUUUGCCGUUUUUGUUGAAAGGAAUUAUUGUAAAUGCAUUUAUUUGAUUCAGGACUCCCGGCCAGACUUCUAAAGCAGAAAGCCAAUCAGCAUGAGGCACCUAGCGUAUUGGGUCUGCAAAGUAAGUGUUAAAUAAUUAUCAUUACUCCAUUGUGCUACCCAGCUGCACUGUCUCACCUACCAAAACCCCUGUGGGAGGACCCCACCUUAGGGGAGAAGACCCCUAUCAGGCCAGAGGUUUCUGACACAGAGGCUCAGGCUCUCGUCAGCCCAGGCACCGUGACACCACCAGACCUCACAAAGGCCUCAGGGCUGCUAUAAAUAAAUCACGGCUGUGUGCAGUACAGUCCCUCCAAAGGGCUGUUCCUUUCCGGCAACGAUCAGGGCUUG